rnacentral:misc_RNA from 1 species
GAAAUGCGAUAAGUAAUGUGAAUUGCAGAAUUCAGUGAAUCAUCGAAUCUUUGAACGCACCUUGCGCCUUUUGGUAUUCCGAAAGGCAUGCCUGUUUGAGUGUCAUGAAAUCUCAAUCCCCCCGGGUUUUCUGAACCCGAGGUGGACUUGGACAUGGGUGUCUGCCGUCUCGUACGGCUCGCCUUAAAUGACUCAGUGGGAUCUUCAGCAUCCGUGGCAGACGUAAUAAGUUUCGUCUCGUCCCUUGCUGUGAGGACCGCUCAUAACCUGCCAUCGCGCACCACUUUUGACUCUGACCUCAAAUCAGGUAGGACUACCCGCUGAACUUAA